AGGACGAACGCUGGCGGCGUGCCUAACACAUGCAAGUCGAGCGGAGAUUGUAGCAAUACAAUCUUAGCGGCGGACGGGUGAGUAACGCGUGGGCAACCUGCCUUUUACAGGGGGAUAACACAGGGAAACUUGUGCUAAUACCGCAUAACAUAUCGAUAUGGCAUCGUAUUGAUAUCAAAGGAGUAAUCCGGUAAAAGAUGGGCCCGCGUCCAAUUAGCUAGUUGGUGGUGUAAUGGACCACCAAGGCGACGAUUGGUAGCCGAACUGAGAGGUUGAUCGGCCACAUUGGGACUGAGACACGGCCCAGACUCCUACGGGAGGCAGCAGUCGGGAAUUUUGCUCAAUGGGCGCAAGCCUGAAGCAGCAACGCCGCGUGCGGGAUGAAGGUUUUCGGAUCGUAAACCUCUGUCCUCAGGGAAGAACACAAUGACGGUACCUGAGGAGGAAGCCCCGGCUAACUACGUGCCAGCAGCCGCGGUAAUACGUAGGGGGCAAGCGUUGUCCGGAAUAACUGGGCGUAAAGGGCGCGUAGGCGGCUUUUUAAGUCUGGAGUGAAAGUCCCGCUUUUAAGGUGGGAAUUGCUUUGGAAACUGGAGAGCUUGAGUGCAGAAGAGGUAAGUGGAAUUCCCAGUGUAGCGGUGAAAUGCGUAGAGAUUGGGAGGAACACCAGUGGCGAAGGCGACUUACUGGGCUGUAACUGACGCUGAGGCGCGAAAGCGUGGGUAGCAAACAGGAUUAGAUACCCUGGUAGUCCACGCUGUAAACGAUGAAUGCUAGGUGUAGGGGGUAUCGACCCCUCCUGUGCCGGAGUUAACACAAUAAGCAUUCCGCCUGGGGAGUACGGGCCGCAAGGUUGAAACUCA
rnacentral:rRNA from 1 species